rnacentral:rRNA from 1 species
CGAACGCUGGCGGCGUGCCUAAUACAUGCAAGUCGAACGGCUUUCAUGGAAGCUUGCUUCCACUGAGAAGAUAGUGGCGAACGGGUGAGUAACACGUGGGUAACCUGCCCAUAAGAGGGGGAUAACAUCCGGAAACGGGUGCUAAUACCGCAUAGUUUUCUUGAUUGCAUGAUUGAGAAAGGAAAGACGGGCUUUGUGCUGUCGCUUAUGGAUGGACCCGCGGCGUAUUAGUUAGUUGGUGUGGUAACGGCUCACCAAGACGAUGAUACGUAGCCGACCUGAGAGGGUGAUCGGCCACAUUGGGACUGAGACACGGCCCAAACUCCUACGGGAGGCAGCAGUAGGGAAUCUUCCGCAAUGGACGAAAGUCUGACGGAGCAACGCCGCGUGAGUGAAGAAGGUUUUUCCGGAUCGUAAAACUCUGUUGUCAGAGAAGAACAAGUUGGAGAGUAACUGCUCCAGCCUUGACGGUAUCUGACCAGAAAGCCACGGCUAACUACGUGCCAGCAGCUGC